CCGGAUGCUCCAACAUGCUUCAUGGUGUGUUGGGAAAGCGUUAGCGGUAUGGGAUGGUGUCGCGUCCUAUCAGCUUGAUGGCGGGGUAACGGCCCACCAUGGCUUCGACGGGUAGCCGGCCUGAGAGGGCGACCGGCCACAUUGGGACUGAGAUACGGCCCAGACUCCUACGGGAGGCAGCAGUGGGGAAUAUUGCGCAAUGGGGGAAACCCUGACGCAGCGACGCCGCGUGCGGGAUGACGGCCUUCGGGUUGUAAACCGCUUUUGAUUGGGAGCAAGCGCAAGUGAGUGUACCUUUCGAAUAAGGACCGGCUAACUACGUGCCAGCAGCCGCGGUAAUACGUAGGGUCCAAGCGUUGUCCGGAAUUAUUGGGCGUAAAGAGCUCGUAGGCGGUUCGUCGCGUCUGGUGUGAAAGUCCAUCGCUUAACGGUGGAUCUGCGCUGGAUACGGGCGGACUGGAGUGCGGUAGGGGAGAUUGGAAUUCCCGGUG
rnacentral:rRNA from 1 species